rnacentral:misc_RNA from 1 species
GAUGAAGAACGCAGCGAAAUGCGAUAAGUAGUGUGAAUUGCAGAAUUCCGUGAAUCAUCGAAUCUUUGAACGCACAUUGCGCCUUCUGGUAUUCCGGAAGGCAUGCCUGUUCGAGAGUCAUUAACAACCGUUUCGAUCCCUUUCUUUCAGAAAUUACAAAGAGGAAAAGGGUUUGGUUAUGGUGGAGGAGGGAAAGGGAGCGUUUAGCCUGUAAAAAAAGAGGCUGUGUUCCGCCGCCCAACCAAAAUUGUACAGGCGGUCGUGUGCUCCCACGCAUCGAGGUGUUGUAAAAGCUGCCACGGCACUUUUCACCUGUGCAGUGCGAGAUUGGCCAGCCGGUUUAAAAACCCCUCCAAACAAUCAAAGGUUGACCUCGGAUCAGGUAGGGAUACCCGCUGAACUUAAGCAUAUCAAUAAGCGGAGGA